rnacentral:lncRNA from 1 species
GGAAAUUCCUUGAUUAUGCCAAUAUCGCCUAGGGAUACGGGUAGGACAGUCAAUUGUAUUUGCUUCCAAACGCAUUGCAUUAUUGAUUACUAGAGGAGGCUAGGGAUAACAAGCCGGUAAUUAAUUAUAGGCUCUUUUCACCAAGGGAUUGGGUUAAGGGUAUACUACAAGUUUGCAUGGCAAUUAGAUAAAUAAGUGAAGUAAAUAAGAAGAGUAGAUAUAUGAGAGUGGAUAAGAUGAAAUUGUAAACCCCAACAACACC